rnacentral:misc_RNA from 1 species
UGGUUCUGGCAUCGAUGAAGAACGCAGCGAAAUGCGAUAAGUAAUGUGAAUUGCAGAAUUCAGUGAAUCAUCGAAUCUUUGAACGCACAUUGCGCCCCUCGGUAUUCCGGGGGGCAUACCUGUUCGAGCGUCAUUACACCUCUCAAGCGUAGCUUGGUAUUGGGCCUCGCUCCCUCAAAAGGGCGUGCCUGAAAAGUAGUGGCGGUCCGGCGUGGCCUUGAACGUAGUAAAUUUACCCCCGUUCUGAAGGUCCGCGUCGCGGCUUGCCAGAAUUCCUCAUUUCUCAAGAAUUGACCUCGGAUCAGGUAGGGAUACCCGCUGA